rnacentral:rRNA from 1 species
CCCUAUGGGGUGCAGCAGGCGAGAAAACUUUGCAAUGUGCGAAAGCACGACAAGGUGAAUCCGAGUGGUUUCUGCUAAAGGAACCUUUUGUCAGUCCUAGAAACACUGGUGAAUAAGGGGUGGGCAAGUUCUGGUGUCAGCCGCCGCGGUAAAACCAGCACCUCAAGUGGUCAGGAUGAUUAUUGGGCCUAAAGCAUCCGUAGCCUGCUUUGUCAGUUUUCGGUUAAAUCCAUACGCUCAACGUAUGGGCUGCCGGGAAUACUGCAAAGCUAGGGAGUGGGAGAGGUAGACGGUACUCGGUAGGAAGGGGUAAAAUCCUUUGAUCUAUUGAUGACCACCUGUGGCGAAGGCGGUCUACCAGAACACGUCCGACGGUGAGGGAUAAAAGCUGGGGGAGCAAACCGGAUUAGAUACCCGGGUAGUCCCAGCUGUAAACUAUGCAAACUCAGUGAUGCAUUGGCUUGAUGCCAAUGCAGUGCUGCAGGGAAGCCGUUAAGUUUGCCGCCUGGGAAGUACGUACGCAAGUAUGAAACUUAAAGGAAUUGGCGGGGGAGCACCACAAGGGGUGAAGCCUGCGGUUCAAUUGGAGUCAACGCCAGAGAUCUUACCCGGAGAGACAGCAGAAUGAAGGUCAAGCUGAAGACUUUACCAGACAAGCUGAGAAGAAGUGCAUGGCCACGGCG